ensembl:lncRNA
AUGAUGGGAUGGACCUACAGGGACAGCGAGGGCCAAAUGAAGCUAUGAAUCACUUUGCAGAUUUCAUGUACAGUUAUAUGUAUUAACUUAAGGUUUUCUCAUGUAAUAUUUGUUACAUUUAUGUUGGUCCAUUUUGUUAGGGAAUGAAUCUUUUAUCCUUGUGUCUUAAUUAACAGUCCUAUUGAUAUUGAAGAAGAUGAAGCCAUUGAGGAGGCCAUCAGACGCAGUCUUUUAGAAGAGUCUGUGCAGCCCUCACAGGAUUCAAGGUUUGCAGAAAGUUUGAGCAUAGAAGAAAUUACAGGAAUUGUGAAAGCUCACAGUGAGAGGGUUGUCACAGAAGCAUACAGACCAAUCUACAUCAGCCGAGGGAACGUGUGGACAACUGCCCUCCGACAGUUUAGUAGACGGAAAUUCACUGAGUGCACCGAUCUGCUGUAUGUCACCUUUGCCAGUGACGAAGGCACCAACGAAGAUGGAGAAGACCUCGGAGGGCCACGGCGAGAAUUCCUCCGUCUGCUUGUUAAAGCCAUCUUCAAAGAGAGUGGAGCAUUUGAAGAGUCUCUAAAUGGCUUCACUCCAAGAAUGAACAUUUCUCAUGUGCAGAAUGGAGUGUACCGCACUAUUGGACAGAUGAUGUCUACCAUCAUCGUCCAGGGUGGUGAACCUCCAGCCCUCCUUUCUCCUCUGGUAGUGGACUACCUUCUGACAGGACACAUCUUUCAGUUGAAGGUCACUCCAGAUGAUGUAGCUGACAUGGAACUGAGAGAAGCCCUGAAGAAGGUUGAUCAAGCAUUAACCACAGAGGAGCUGGAGCAAGCAGUGGAAUGCUGUGACUCAUGGAGAUACCAACUCGAAGGUCUUCCGAACCCAGUCAGC